CCAAGGAAAUAUAUAUACGGUGGGCGAUCGUGAUCGUAGAGGUGGCUCCGGCAGAGUCCACAGGCUCGGACUACGUGUACCACUGCGUCUGCGGCACGGUCCUUGGUCACUCUAAGCGGAUCGUUCGUUUGACCUGGUUAGGCAUGCACCCCUCACAAAUCUCGGCUUCAUACACGGCACAAAAUAACAGGCACGGAACGGACUCACAGUUAGAUUUCGAAGGUUGGCUCGUCGGGCCCACUGCGGUCGAUCCUCUCCAGAAUUUCUCUCCCUCAGUAACGGAAUCUCGCUCUCACCGAUACUGUCCUACAUCAUUUAGCCUCUUUGGAAAACCGAUAGAUGGCGCUUCGACUCAGCCCUGGACAAUCUAUCGCUGAGGUGGGACUGGAACAUGCGGAAAAUUUGUCCGCCGUAUUUUCUGUGCGCUAAACACCCCCCUGGUCGACAAUGGGUUAACGUUUCAUUUUAUUGAUUGAAAUCGUAUUAACUCGUCAAAAAGAAAAACCUCUGCCGAAAAUUUUUCGUCACAAUAUGGGACAAAUAGUUGUGGUUGUGCGAAAUGGCAACUACGCAGACACGUAAUUAUUACCAGCGCCCCCUGGCGAAGAAAGCAGUCAACUUAUCCGAUAUAUAUAUCUAAUAAUGUGCAAGGUGUGUGAUUUAGAGAGGGUGGGAGAUAAG